rnacentral:rRNA from 1 species
CAGCAGCCACGGGAAUACGUAGGGUGCGAGCGUUAAUCGGAAUUACUGGGCGUAAAGCGUGCGCAGGCGGUUCGUUAAGACAGAUGUGAAAUCCCCGGGCUUAACCUGGGAACUGCAUUUGUGACUGGCGAGCUAGAGUAUGGCAGAGGGGGGUGGAAUUCCGCGUGUAGCAGUGAAAUGCGUAGAUAUGCGGAGGAACACCGAUGGCGAAGGCAGCCCCCUGGGCCAAUACUGACGCUCAUGCACGAAAGCGUGGGGAGCAAACAGGAUUAGAUACCCCCGUAGUCCCUGUCUCUUAUAC